GUGCUCGCUUUGGCAAGCACAUGUACUAAAAAUGGGAACAACAGAGAGAUCAGCACAGCCCCUCUACAAGGAUGACAUUCAAGUUCAUGAAGCGCUCCAUUUUUUU